rnacentral:rRNA from 1 species
AAGUUGCCAAAAAAAUAAGGAUAAAAGGUAGGUUUAAGGGUAAAAUCUUAGACGUAUAUUUUUAGUAUAAGUUAGGUGAAGCUGAAAAAUUCAAAGGUUAAACUAGGAUUAGAUACCCUAUUAUAUUUGAAUAAAGAUGAGUAGUACUAGUUAUGGGCUUCAAACUCAAAGAAUUUGGCGGUGUUGAAUCUGAUUAGAGGAACCUGUCUAGUAAACGAUAAUCCACGAAAAUCUUACCUAAAAGUAAUAGCUUGUAUACCGUCGUUUGGAGUAUUAUAUGAAUGUAGUUGCUAGAGUUAGGGAGUCCCUGGGAUGACAGAUCAAGGUGCAGCUAAUAUUUAGGUUAGGAUGGGUUACAUUCUAGAUUUAUUGACUAUAUCUUUGAAAUGAGCGUAAGGAUUGGAUUUAAAAGUAAUUAAGAGUUAUAACCUUGAAAUGAUAUUGAUCUUGAACAUGUACAUAUCGCCCGUCGCUCUCAUAUAUUAAAUGAGAUAAGUCGUAACAUA